GAUUCAAACAAUUUUUUUCCCAUGCAGGAAAGAUAGAAAAAAAAUACAGCAUUUUAAAAUAUCCCCCCCAAAGAAAACAAAACCAGUGCAAUAAGCAGUUAUAACUCUGAGAGGAAAACUGUCAGGAACUCUCUGAAACCAGCUAACAGCUACUCCAGGCUGUCCUUUCCACUGCAACUUUACACAGAAAAUGCUCAGAAAGCAUGGAUGGGAUGCAGAAGGCAGAAAGAAAAGACACCAGACUGAUGAAAUAAGUGGUAAGAGCUGAAACUUCACUGUUUCGGGUAAACUAAUUUGCAAAUUUUGUCAGGAGGUAUUUGCAGAAACCAAUCAGUAGUGGCAACUGGCUUUUAAUGUUAAAAGACAAGGAAGACACGGAUUAUAGGAUUUGAGGCAUAUAAAUCUGAGUGCAAGUUCAGAAUACCUGAUGCAGCAGAAAGAGGGAGAGUUUCUGAGCAACUGGAAGGCACAACUGUAAAGAUGUUGCAAUAAUCAAAUAAGGCAAAAGAAUUAGAAAGGUGAAAUAAUUUAACCUAAAAUAACAUUUUUUAAAUAACCCAAGACUGUAAAGCAUAACAUAAAUGUCAUCAUUCUAUGAAUAUAAACCUUCCUUUUACAAUGUUUCUUAUAUGCAUGUUCCUAUGGAAAGAAAAUUCAUCAGAUCACUAGCUAUUCACAUAGUGACCUGCAGUCUGUGGUUUCAGCAUCACCCUGCUUUCAAUUUGAAUGACUUCAGGACGAUUUUGGAGUGGCAAUAGUUAUUUCCCCAGGAUAGUUUACAGGUACCAAAGGAAAAUCUGAUUCCCUAUAAAAUCCAACUUCAAAUGUCCCAUUUUAAAUUAAAGGACUGACUUUUACUAUGCAGCACUAAAAAGAAAUAAAAUGUGGUUUAAGGCCACAAAAUAUGUUUACUAAGGUAACACAGCAGAGCACACCACUGUGCAGUAUGGUCUUGAACUGCUGAUGCAACUGCUGCUCCACAACCAUCUGACUGUGAGGGAAGAAAUAUGCUAUGGCCUUGAUGAGGCAGCCAAGGUAGUAAUUUCAUUUCUGACUGCUAAGCAGUAUACAAAAAAGCUACAAUAUAUAAAAAAAGAGCAUCCUAUUCUGUAUUUUCAUCCUCUAUUAGAAGGUGAAGGUUUUUUAAUGUUGCUUAGCAUUCAAAGAUUUUCACAAUGUGGGUUGUGGACUGUGAAAAUGGAACUGGAAGAUACCUUUGGGAUUUCCAGCUACAGCCCCAUAAUUGUUAGACAUGUCCUAAAAGUUGGAAAAAGCAGGACCUGCUGAGCUGGCACAUUGCUCCUGCCAUCCACAGAGAAGUGUUAGCAUAAGCUCUGAAAGAAGCCAUUAAGUGGCCUCCUCUGGUAGAGGAGAGCUGCCAAGGGAUAUAUAUUUUUGGGUCUUGAUAGUGACCAUGAUGUGCCACUUACGGAUGAAAUACAGAGCAGUCCUCAAUUCAUGUAUUUGCUGGAAAUGAUGGCUCUAUACCUUACCUGUUUGAUUCAGUGCUCUUGUGUAGAAGGUGGAGUGAUCCAAGGUUGGCUGGCAGCAUGACGUAGCCAGGUCCUGCAAGUAAGGCUGGGAAUUAGCUGAAGAGCAGGAGACAAAGCUUUCACAGGCUCACAGUACGUGUUCAAGUCUGUGUUACCAUUCUGGUGUCUUCACCUACCUCAACAGUUGUCCACCUCCUAUGUAAGAGGCUGCUGACAGGAAGGACUGCAGAUUUCCAAGGACAUCUGCAAAAUGAGAGCAAUUGAAUGGUGAAGAGAUAGAUAUGGCAGCCUAAAGUUUCUAGUCUCAGCCAUUGCGACAGCUCUUGUAGAAAAGGCUUAAAAGUUUAAUCUCACUAAAAAAAAAGGACAGCAGUGCUUAUUUCUUAAGAGUGUUUUACCAAAUGCAAGUCUGGACAGGGAUGGAAAAUGAAGACUAAGUAUUGCAUUAAUAAUGAUUAAGCCUGAUGCCAAUCCUGCUUAUAUUUCACAAUCAGCAUAGCUUCUGAGUUGAAACUCUGUGGCUUCCUGGCUUUCAAACAUCUGUUUUUCUUAAAUCUUACUUUCAUUAUGUCCUCCAUUAUAGAGCCUAGACUUAAUGUAUCCUUUAUUUCUGUAUCCUUUAUUUCUCUAUUCAUUUAUCAAAACUUUUAGAGAUUUUAGUUAUAUUCUAUGGGGAAAAAUAUCAUUAGGGUCCAAGGGAGGUCUUCAGUCAGUGGUUGAAUCUGAAGUUAUCUGGCAGCAUUAAGUAAGCAGCUUUUGGUAUGAGGUUGAGUCUGAAGCAGAAACAGAAUUAGACAUUGACAUCAAACUUUCCAUAAAAGAGAAAUCUCAGUAGGGGAAAGAACUUAGCCCUUUAAGAUGGAAAGUUUUAAUAGGAAUGACACAAAUAGAUAUUCAAUGAAUCGCUCGCAUUGUAGGAGGGCAGGUGAAUGACAGACAAGAAGUGUUGAGGUAUUGUUUUCGCUCCUGCCUCACUUGGCAAGGCCUUUUUCACUAUGGAGCUGCUUCUCUCCUUGCAAAUACAACUUCUUCAUCAUAGAUUAGUCAUAAGGGAGAAGUGAAAUUCAAGUAGAGCUUGCCAGCACACCUGAAAUAGCAAUGAAAUGUAGGCAUCAAAAACACAGUAAAUAUCAACUGAGCCUUUUCAUUAUGAUGUAGGGACACUUCAAGAAUCUCUGGGUAAAAUAAUUAGUUCAGUUUGUCCACAUGUAAUAACUGCGUCAUGCAAUUCAUCAGUAUUUUAAUCAGGGAUCUUCAGUUGUAUGGGAGUUGGUGUAUGCACCUUUUAAAGCAGAAACAGUCUGAGCCCAAAAGGCUGUCUCUGGGACUGAGCCCUCCUGCAGAGAGCAGAUGGAAAUUGGUCAAAAACUUUUCACCUCUAGCUUAGUGAUGGAGGGAGGGUGUUUAUUGACUAACUAUGCUCAUUGUUAUGAAAACAGAGAUGGAAGGACUAUUUGCACCACAGCUUGGAACUCCACAAAUGAAAGCUCUUCCAGGCACUGAUCAACCCACAUUUUAAGAGGGUGAUGAAGGGUGCCUUUCAGCCUUGCCAUCCAACUCUAAACAGUCCUUCUGCCAGGCAGCCAAAUGGACACCAAUUUUCUUACACAUGUAAAACUGAAAUCAAGUUCAGGCAGAUAUAGGCACAGUGCCACCCCAGACCCUAAAUGUCCAGUCCCACUAUGGAUCACCCUUUCUUCCCAAUAUCAUCAGACCUUGAACUGCCAACAGAAAAAGAUAACCAGGUCAUAUGCUAUUUUGCCAAAAGGGUCAGCAUAUGACAGAAUCUUAUUUUGCUACCAAAAUUCAGUGAGGAAUUACAGCAAAAAAUUUCUAUCUAACUCUCCUUUCACAGAGUCAUAUGGCAAACAGAUAUUUAUGCCUGGUGGGCUAAGGGGACUACACUGUGUUUCUCAUUGGGCUGUUGUAGUGGGCAGUUGGUUCCCACCAGCCUGGGAAUUCUUGUUUUACCCAAUGGCUGGUAAAUUACUCAAGUGAGACCUGUUGUUGGUGUUUAUCACCAAAUACCUUGAAAAACAAGAAAAACUCAUUUGUUUGCUCUUUAUUAGGCAUUCUGGUAUGUCCUUUCAUUAGUUCUUGAAGACUGGAAAUACAGGAGAAAAUUGGUGAAGGAAGAACAAGAGAAAAAGCCUCUAUUGACUGCUUCCCUGUAGGCUUGUUAGAGGAGCAACACAUUAGAGGUGAUACCUGUCUUAAAAUCAAAUAUUUCCAUUGUGCAGCAGAUGUACGAGGUUUUAUCGUUCUUUCUGCUGCACCAAGCUGGAUUCGGAGAAAUAUACUCUGUGAGAGUGUGCAUCAAACGAACUUAGCUGGGAGAUGCCCAACUUCCCAGACAGGGUAAAGGUCUGGGAACAGAGCAGAGCAGCACAGCUCUGGUGUACACUGUCCAACAGCCUGUGGAGACCCUGAGUGGGGUAUCUAAAUCCCAGAUGUAGUUCAGGUAGUUGGUUAUUCUUUUGUGAAACACAGUAAGAAGGAUCCACUGCAGAAGGUUACAGAACAAACCUGGAUGAAGAUACAACUCAUAAAUACUCUGGAUUUCUGGUCUGCUUUUAAUUAUUUUAUCUAGCUUUCUCUCUUCUUUGCAUGGAAACUGUUCAUAAUAUUUAUGAAAUACCUUGUUCCCUGAAAAAUUGGUUUAAUUAGAACCAGUCCAAUUUCCAAAUCUGAGUUGAGUAUGUUUGGCCAAAAUGAUGGAUAAAGUCCAAAGAGUAGAAAAAAGAAAAUAUUCUUCCCAUCCAUUAAGUCUUCCAUCUGGAUUUGGGAAGCAUGUUUCAAAUCCCUCCUAUUGUCUCCUCCAGAUCAGACUGCAUGUAGGAUGAUCUAAAGGAAGUUCAUUUCAGUAUGAACUGGUCAAGAUGCUUCCUCUAAAAUGGGACUGUUUUGGCGGAAGAGAGGCUCCAUAGCACACUGGUUACUGGCAUGACAAAGAUCCACUUUGUAUUUCUGUCUCUAAUCAGGAACAAUAAAGAUGAACUCAUCUCACAUGUUAUCAGUGUGUCCUGGUCUUAUGUGUAUCACCCAUAAGGUCACCUUCUGAAGCUUCUUUGAAACUAUUUCCUAAAUUUCUGCUGUUCCCAAACUGUCAGUUGUUUUGGGGUUUGAUUUCCAUCCCCCCCAACACUUCUAGCUUAGAAGCCAUCAGCCCCACAAGCUGACUUUGCCACAUGGGGGCUCAUAUAUAUUGUUUCUCUGAUGAAUAAGAACCAUCUACUGCAGUACAGUGUGAAAGUACAGCUUUCAGGUCCUGGAUUAAUGCUGACUUUUAUAUCAGUGUUUUUUCUCUCUCCUUAGGAUCUACAGCUUUUAUCUUCUGGCCAGCUCAGGAAAAAAAAAUCAUAUUUUCCUGUCUUAUCUGUUACUUUACUUUCCAUUAAAGCGUUGGAGCAAGUCACUGCCUGUAAAUAUUGGUAUAUACUGUAUGUGUUUUUUUAGGGGCAUUCACAGCAUAACACUCAAAGUAGCUUUGCUGACAAAACAUAAAUCAAUAAUAACCUCUAACUUUUCCCAGUUUUAAUUUUUCAGAUUCUACUUAAUCCUCUGUUCUGCUGCACCCUAUUUCUGCAACAUCUACAGAUCCCUAAGUAUUUAUUCUUCCUCUGGCAGUCCUUCUACCCUCUGGCACCAAGUGCAAAGGUAGCGGGGAUGCUGUGAAACACCCUGUUAGACUUACUGAUGUGACAGUGUGAGCUCACUGUGACACUGAAUGCAGGCAUGGGAAAGAGCACAGUCUCCAUGCUGACUAGAGGCACAAAGCCGCGUCUGUAAGCCUUCUGGCAUUUGUCCUGAUAUCAAGCCAGCAGGCACUUCCACGUAGCCCCCCAGGGAGGAUACACCAGGGUGAAUUCUGAGGAAUGCUCUAAGCAGGAGCAACCCUUCAGCUACCAGCACAGGACUUGCCUCCCUGGGCAUCCUGUUCCAAAUUUACCACAAAUUACGACAAAAAUCAGCAUUAGAAAAUACGCUUAUGAUUAAAAUGGGGAAUAUGUAUCUCCCAAGUUAUUAAAAAUUACUCUCAGCAAUUAUUAGUAUGUCAGCAAUCAAUAAUAGCAACAAUUAAUAGUAAAGAAUCUAUCAAUAGUAUAGCAACAAUCAACUAGAGUGACCAUCAGUAUUAUAGCAACAACUAAGUAGGUAUGUAUUAUCAGAGGUUGCUGCAAAGUUAUCAUUAGUGAAGUAACGUAUCAACAGUGUAACAGCAGUUAUUCUUAUUGUUGAUUACUUGUAUGAACCUAUAAGUAUUGAGUAAAUUAGAUCUCAGAAGGGGACAAACCAUCCAGAAGUGGGAGGACAAACUAAAUGGACCCCAGAAGGGGGCCCAUAGGGGACCAACAAUGUAACAGAGAGAGUCUGACUUCAGAGAUGGAAACAGGGGUCAGCCAGGCAUCCCAGUAACAGUCCAAGAUUUCAUACAAAUUUCAUGUGGAGAAUUAAACAUGUUUAUGAAAUGAAAAGUAUGUGCAACACAGGAAGUCGUCAGAGAGAGAACAGUUGGAUUUUGGAUAAAAUAUAAGUCAUUUUUAUAUCAUAGAGACAUCAGAGUACAUAGGACAUCACCACUUUGAGCAGCCAAUGGAUGUUAAUUUCUGGUUUUCACCUGCAGCAGCCAAUAGAUUAUAAUGUUUUCUGUUCCUUUAGACCAAUUUUUAUGUUCACAGACUGUUAUCCUCUCCUUGAAGAUAGAAGAGCCUAUGGCAUCUACCAGUUCAUACUUUCUCAGGAUGUUUUCCCCUUUUUUCCAGACUAUUUUUUUACCUUUUUGGAUAAAAAAUUGCUAUUUCAGUUCCUUGAUUUUGCAGUUAUCAAUGGCAUCUCUGGAUGUUUCCAAUUUCUAGGUAUUCAGCUGUACUUCAAAGAUGCCAGCUGAGCACUUCUUGAGGAGGUUUCUGGUUCACAGGCCUGGUUCCCAGGCUGGCAAGCAUUUCUUCUGAGAGCAUUUUUCCAGCAGAUGUUUUCUUCUGCUAAGUACUUGUCUCCUUCUAACCAGACCACCUUUAUGGCUGCUCCCAUCACCUCACAAAUCAGUUCUGUGGCCAUCAUGUUAAGUCUGCAAGCUGCUAGACUUCUCCAAGGAAGGAAAAAUAGUUACUUUGGCAAUUGGCUUGCCUAUAGCUGUGAAAGGGUGUUCCUUCAAUUUGAUUUUACUGUAAGCCGUAAAAAAAAAAAAUUAAGCAGGAGCUAGCUUGGAGCAGAGAAAAAUACUGUGAGGAUUUCUGGGAGGAUCUGAAUGCUAAAUGCUGUCUGUGCACAAGUUGCAAAAACAGAUGACCUGAGAUUUGUUUUUUGGUUGGGGUUUUUCCUCCAUCAGAAUGUAAAUUCUGAAAAAUUUUUGCUUUAUAUUCCAGCCAAAGAGCUGCAUGGGAAGAAAAUUACAGAAAAUAUUUUUUGCCUACAUUUAUGAGUUAUCUCUUUUCAAAAAGAAUCUGUUCUUUUCUUAAAUAUGACUUUUUGUGAAAAUGGAAAAAAAAAAACCCAAACAACUCAAAACCUAAAAGCAGAAACCCCAGGCUAACCUCUUUAGCGUGAUAUGAAAAUGGAAAGUAACACUCCUGGCUCAGGUAUGUUUCUGUCUUCUAAAGGGAAGGAGAUGGGAUUGUGUCACUCUUCAUUUUACCAUUGCAGAAGAUUUAGACACAAACAGAAAUGGUGUAAAUUUUAAAGACAUCUUGAUCUUGCUUCUACCUGAAAAUUACCAAAAGGUAGGAUAUGGAAAGUUAAAAAAAUAUCACUAUCUUAAAAAAUGCUACAUUUCAUUUCCACUAGGCAGAUUGUCAGAUGACAAAUGAACAACAUUUGAUGACAAAUCAACAACAUGGAGGUAAGAAGGCCAAGGCUGUGCAGUGGUCAGCUAAUUCCCUCCCAUGCUGUGUCAAACAUCUGAGAAAAAAUACUGCAGCAUGAAGAAAUAGUAAAUCUACUUCUGCUUCUCAUUCUGAAAAUAUUCUCAGUGCUUCAGUUCUGAUGGUUGUCAGCUGGAUGAUGCUACUGGAUAACUGAAUUUAGAGCUUUCGAAAAAAAUAAAAUCUAUUUAGGGACAGUAGGAUUCCUGUUCAGAAAGCAAACAAACCAACAGUUACAUAAACAGCAGGAUGCCUUGUAAGAGACCUUCCAGUGAUGACCCUCUGGACCGAGGUGAGGCUGAGAGCAGGUCUGUGUGCAUGGGGUAAUAGACAUUAGGCCAAGAAUGAAGCAGCACUUUGUCCUGCAGAACUGGUUCAUGUCUGGCACCAUGUCUUCCAGUUCACUUUCUGAAACACCUCACACUUGCUGGGUGUGAUGCCAGUCAGACUUCCAUGCCUGGAAGUGUUCAAAAAACAAGUAGAGAUGGCACUUUGCGAAAUGGUUUAGUUGACAUGGUGGUAUUUGGUUAAAGGUUGGAUUUGAUCUUGUAUGUCUUUUCCAGCCUUAAUGAUUCUGUGAUUCUCUGAUCUGUAAUAAAGCAGAGAAAUUUAAAGGGUAAA